AGUCAAGUAAGGGCACAAGGUGGAUGACUUGGCGUAAGAGGCCGAAGAAGGACGUAGUAGCCUGCGAUAAGCGUCGGUGAGCUGGCAAACAAGCUCUGACCCGGCGAUUUCCGAAUGGGGAAACCCAACGAGAGUCAUGUCUCGUUACUCCUAUCUGAAUAUAUAGGAUAGGUAGAGGGCACCUGGGGAACUGAAACAUCUAAGUACCCAGAGGAAUAGACAUCAACCGAGAUUCCGUUAGUAGCGGCGAGCGAACGCGGAUCAGCCUAAACCUUUUUAAUGUUAAAGCUUACAGGCGUUGUUAAAAGGGUGUUGUGAGGUAAUUGUCCAUUCUUUGUAGUUAGUUAAGCAGUUAAAAAGAAGAAAUUUAAUGGAAGGAAUCUGGAAAGAACCGCCAUAGAGGGUGAUAGCCCCGUACAUGAAAAAUUUCUUGGCCUUAUACGAUUAUACUCAAGUACCACGGGACACGAGGAAUCCUGUGGGAAUCUGGGAGGACCACCUUCCAAGGCUAAAUACCUCUUAUGACCGAUAGUGAACAAGUACCGUGAGGGAAAGUUGAAAAGAACCCCUGUUAGGGGAGUGAAAUAGAACCUGAAACCAUGUGCCUACAAAGAGUCGGAGCAUCUGAAUAGCGGAUGUGACGGCGUGCUUUUUGCAGAACGAACCAACGAGUUAAUGGCUGUUGCAAGGUUAAGUUGUUAUACAACAUAGCCGAAGUGAAAGCGAGCCCUAAUAGGGCGAUUUAAGUAGCAGUCAUUAGACCCGAAACCGGGCGACCUAACCAUGGGCAGGCUGAAGCGGCGGUAAGACGUCGUGGAGGGCCGAACCCACGUCAGUUACAAAUGGCGGGGAUGACCUGUGGUUAGCGGAGAAUGUAAAUUACCUUCCGGGGGUAGAGCACUGAAUCGGUUUGGGGCCUUUAAAGGUACCCAGCCGAAAUAAACUCCGAAUACCGGAAGCAAUUAUUGCAGGAGUCAGAAUGUGGGGGCUAAGCUCCAUGUUCAAAAGGGAAACAACCCAGAUCGCCAGCUAAGGUCCCUAAAUCUAUACUAAGUGGAAAACGAUGUGAAGUCGCACAGACAACCAGGAUGUUGGCUUAGAAGCAGCCAUCAUUUAAAAAGUGCGUAAUAGCUUACUGGUCAAUUGUGAUUUCGCGCGGAAAAUAUAACGGGGCUUAAGUAUAGUACCGAAGCUGCGGAUUUCGACGGAGUGGUAGGAGAGCGUUCCUGUCUGGUGUGAAGCUAGAUCGUAAGGUCUGGUGGACUGGCAGGAAGUGAGAAUGUUGGUAUGAGUAGCUAUAAAGGACGUGAAAACCGUCCUCACCGUAAGUCCAAGGUUUCCAGGGCAACGUCGAUCGACCCUGGGUUAGUCGGGCCUAAGCCGAGGCAAGUAGCGUAGGCGAUGGACAGCAGGUUGAUAUUCCUGCACCGGUGUUAUUGUUCCUUAAGCUGACGCUGGAUGGUAGUCAGAGCGCACUUUUGGCUAUGUGCGUCCAAGUGUCUAGUCCCUUCGGGGGUGAAGCACGAGUGAAAGCCUGGGUAAAUCCGGGUGAUUCUGGUGAGCCAAACAGACAAGAAAAGGCUUAAAUUAAUAGAUAACGCCGACCGUACCGCAAACCGACACAGGUAGACGGGUAGAGUAUACCAAGGUGUUUCGGGAGAACCCUCUUU
rnacentral:rRNA from 1 species